AUUGAACGCUGGCGGCAGGCUUAACACAUGCAAGUCGAGCGGGGAAAGGUAGCUUGCUACCUGACCUAGCGGCGGACGGGUGAGUAAUGCUUAGGAAUCUGCCUAUUAGUGGGGGACAACAUUCCGAAAGGAAUGCUAAUACCGCAUACGCCCUACGGGGGAAAGCAGGGGAUCUUCGGACCUUGCGCUAAUAGAUGAGCCUAAGUCAGAUUAGCUAGUGGGGGGGGUAAAGGCCUACCAAGGCGACGAUCUGUAGCGGGUCUGAGAGGAUGGUCCGCCACACUGGGACUGAGACACGGCCCAGACUCCUACGGGAGGCAGCAGUGGGGAAUAUUGGACAAUGGGCGCAAGCCUGAUCCAGCCAUGCCGCGUGUGUGAAGAAGGCCUUUUGGUUGUAAAGCACUUUAAGCGAGGGGGAGGCUACUUGGAUUAAUACUCUAGGAUAGUGGACGUUACUCGCAGAAUAAGCACCGGCUAACUCUGUGCCAGCAGCCGCCGUAAUAC
rnacentral:rRNA from 1 species